AGAAACGCUGUUAAAAGUGGAUCAGACCGAGCGCCAAGCCGCCAAAACACACUUGUAGCCAAUCAGCAGUAAGGGGGGCGUGUCCACUUAUGAGGAGGGAGUUGCCUGUGCUGUAUAGCGUGUUUGUGAAUUCGGUGGGGCGGAGCUAUCAAGAUAAGGGUGUGAUAUUUUUUAGAUAUUUUUCAAGAUAUUUUUUAACUUUGUGCAUUCUUUUUAACAGGAAAGGAAGGCAAAUACAAAUUGAGUGGAUUCUUUGGAAAUAAAUACCAAGGAUAAUUUUGAAGUGGAAGUUGUUGCUGCAAUAAUGUGUAUCUUCACUUGAUUGCUCUUUUUUUUUACACAAUGUUUCUGUGAAUGUUGUACAUUUUCUGUCAUUUUGAGUAUUUUGUUCUCCUUGUAUUUUAAUGUAUUGUUGAUAUUUGUUACCUUGCCAUAAAAAUAAACAGCUGCUUGUACAAAUAAAGACAUUUUAGAUUAAAUAAUUAUAUCUGAUGCAUCUUUUUUCUUUUUAAAUUCCACAAUUCCACAAGUUUCUUGUGUUUUAUGUUUUAUGAAUUUAUGUUUUAUGUAGAAGUUUUCUAUAAGCCACUGUUAUUUAUUUCUGUUUAAUUUCCUGUAGCAAGGCUAUGUAUGGUUUUGAAUAAAUACUCUAAAUCCAA